rnacentral:rRNA from 1 species
GACGAGGGAUCCUAGCGUUGUUCGGAAUCAUUGGGCGUAAAGAGUAUGUAGGCGGCCUUGUAAGUCAGUUGUGAAAGCCCCGGGCUCAACCCGGGAAGUGCAAUUGAUACUGCUUGGCUUGAAUGUGGAAGAGGGCAGUAGAAUUCCAGGUGUAGUGGUGAAAUACGUAGAUAUCAGGAGGAACACCAAUGGCGAAGGCAGCUCGCUGGGACGUGACUGACGCUGAGACGCGAAAGCGUGGGGAGCAAACAGG